rnacentral:rRNA from 1 species
GGCCACUGCUAUCGGGGUCCGACUAAGCCAUGCGAGUCAAGGGGGUGUCCCUCUGGGACACCACCGGCGGACGGCUCAGUAACACGUCGGUAACCUACCCUCGGGAGGGGGAUAACCCCGGGAAACUGGGGCUAAUCCCCCAUAGGCCUGAGGUACUGGAAGGUCCUCAGGCCGAAAGGGGCUUUUGCCCGCCCGAGGAUGGGCCGGCGGCCGAUUAGGUAGUUGGUGGGGUAACGGCCCACCAAGCCGAAGAUCGGUACGGGCUGUGAGAGCAGGAGCCCGGAGAUGGACACUGAGACACGGGUCCAGGCCCUACGGGGCGCAGCAGGCGCGAAACCUCCGCAAUGCGGGAAACCGCGACGGGGGGACCCCGAGUGCCGUGGCACCGCCACGGCUUUUCUGGAGUGUAAAAAGCUCCAGGAAUAAGGGCUGGGCAAGGCCGGUGGCAGCCGCCGCGGUAAUACCGGCGGCCCGAGUGGUGGCCGCUAUUAUUGGGCCUAAAGCGUCCGUAGCCGGGCCCGUAAGUCCCUGGCGAAAUCCCACGGCUCAACCGUGGGGCUUGCUGGGGAUACUGCGGGCCUUGGGACCGGGAGAGGCGGGGGGUACCCCUGGGGUAGGGGUGAAAUCCUAUAAUCCCAGGGGGACCGCCAGUGGCGAAGGCGCCCCGCUGGAACGGGUCCGACGGUGAGGGACGAAGGCCAGGGGAGCAAACCGGAUUAGAUACCCGGGUAGUCCUGGCUGUAAAGGAUGCGGGCUAGGUGUCGGGUGAGCUUCGAGCUCGCCCGGUGCCGUAGGGAAGCCGUUAAGCCCGCCGCCUGGGGAGUACGGCCGCAAGGCUGAAACUUAAAGGAAUUGGCGGGGGAGCACUACAAGGGGUGGAGCGUGCGGUUU